CAGCCGUAAACUAUGCGCGUUAGGUGUAUCGGUGACCACGAGUCACCGAGGUGCCGAAGGGAAACCGUGAAACGUGCCGCCUGGGAAGUACGGUCGCAAGGCUGAAACUUAAAGGAAUUGGCGGGGGAGGCACCACAACGGGUGGAGCCUGCGGUCUAAUUGGACUCAACGCCGGGAAGCUCACCGGAUAAGACAGCGGAAUGAUUGCCGGGCUGAAGACUCUACUUGAUGAUCUGAGAGGAGGUGCAUGGCGUCAGUGACU
rnacentral:rRNA from 1 species